CUUCACCAUAAUAGUUAUCAAGCUUCCAUAAAGCUCCCAUGCAAGUCAAUUUCUUUCUCAACAACUCACAAUAUGAAAAAUAAAUAAACCCAAAAAAUUAGAAUAAUAUAAGCAUGCAUGCAAAAUUAGAAAAUCUUCAAGUAUGCAUAUAAGAUAUUUUGUAUUAAUUUAUAUGAAAUUAUUGCAAACAUUAAAUAACCAUAACU
rnacentral:lncRNA from 1 species